CUUGGCAAAACUUUACAAACUAACUUAGAUUAUUUACGAAUUUCAAAGAGUUCACUACUCGGGGUUCUUGUUCACCCUGACAAACUCGCAAUGAAGUUACAUGCAUGCCUUAAGUUAUAACAGAAUUUAUCAUGCACACUUUAUAUUUUGUCUUAGAAUACAAUAUGAACAAUAUAUGAUUAAAAUAUAUUUUCAAAGUUAAUGAAUUUUUAUAUUAUUUAUUUUUCAUUAUAUACCCUUUUUUACCUGACUUUACCUGUAAGAUAAAUGCGCGCAAAAGUAAUCAAAGGCUGCGCGCAAACGUAAAACAUUGUAAUCCCCAAAUGCGCGCAAACGUACUGCGCCCGAAU
rnacentral:lncRNA from 1 species